rnacentral:rRNA from 1 species
AUUGAACGCUGGCGGCAUGCCUUACACAUGCAAGUCGAACGGUAACAGGUCUUCGGAUGCUGACGAGUGGCGAACGGGUGAGUAAUACAUCGGAACGUGCCCGAUCGUGGGGGAUAACGAGGCGAAAGCUUUGCUAAUACCGCAUACGAUCUACGGAUGAAAGCGGGGGAUCUUCGGACCUCGCGCGGACGGAGCGGCCGAUGGCAGAUUAGGUAGUUGGUGGGAUAAAAGCUUACCAAGCCGACGUUCUGUAGCUGGUCUGAGAGGAUGAUCAGCCACACUGGGACUGAGACACGGCCCAGACUCCUACGGGAGGCAGUAGUGGGGAAUUUUGGACAAUGGGCGAAAGCCUGAUCCAGCCAUGCCGCGUGCAGGAUGAAGGCCUUCGGGUUGUAAACUGCUUUUGUACGGAACGAAAAGCCUCUUUCUAAUAAAGAGGGGUCAUGACGGUACCGUAAGAAUAAGCACCGGCUAACUACGUG